UGAGCAGAGAUGUGUGUGUACCUCUUUGACAGUGACAUUUUUACCUGACAACAGCCGUUUCUUUCUGCAAAGCAUUUUCCACCAAUCAGGACGCUACA